AGUGAACGCUGGCGGUAGGCCUAACACAUGCAAGUCGAACGGCAGCACAGAGGAGCUUGCUCCUUGGGUGGCGAGUGGCGGACGGGUGAGGAAUACAUCGGAAUCUACUCUGUCGUGGGGGAUAACGUAGGGAAACUUACGCUAAUACCGCAUACGACCUACGGGUGAAAGCAGGGGACCUUCGGGCCUUGCGCGAUUGAAUGAGCCGAUGUCGGAUUAGCUAGUUGGCGGGGUAAAGGCCCACCAAGGCGACGAUCCGUAGCUGGUCUGAGAGGAUGAUCCGCAACACUGGAACUGGGGCACGGACCAGACUCCUACGGGAGGCAGCAGUGGGGAAUAUUGGACAAUGGUCGCAAGCCUGAUCCAGCCAUACCGCGUGGGUGAAGAAGGCCUUCGGGUUGUAAAGCCCUUUUGUUGGGAAAGAAAUCCAGCUGGCUAAUACCCGGUUGGGAUGACGGUACCCAAAGAAUAAGCACCGGCUAACUUCGUGCCAGCCGCCGCGGUAA
rnacentral:rRNA from 1 species